rnacentral:lncRNA from 1 species
AAUUCUCCCAUUGGGCACAGGAUAAACGGUUUAUGUUUACGUAUUGAUUUUAAAGACAACUAAGCCUACCCUUUGGUUUUGGUGUCAUACAAGACCAUUAACUCGGCCCCAGGGGGGGACAGAGUCAUCUUCUCUGCCCCCCACUGGGGCAAUUCCUGUUCGGCGCGUCCUAGCCGCGGGGGUGGGCGCCUCUUACUUCAGUAGGCCGGAGUAAGAUGGUGGCUGAGUUCGGAUAGGGACCCAGAUCUACUGGGUAUAACGUAAAACCCUUGCCCGGGGAUACGGGUGAAGACCUCAACGGUUGCAGAGGCGGAGAUGAGAGCGAUCGGUACGGCAAUGCAGGAUGGAAGAGGCGAGUCACAGGGAAUGUAACCUGGAACCUGACAGAGGGCAGCAGUAACUGUCAGAACUAUUCAGAGGCGGAUGACAGGAGUCUAAGUACGGCUUUGAAAUAGACUACUCUGGGCGCCAUCCCACUCACGUCAGACAGAGUACUGCGGGACAGAAGGACUUCUUGUGCGGCUGCUUGCGAAAAAACAUGAAGCUGUUGGUCCCGAGCUACUAGCCCAAAUAUCUCCACCAACACGUACUGGAGUAUGCUUCAUACCGCCCAGCAGUGGGGAGUAUAUUAUACAUUCAAAAUUGAGACUAUGUUUAUAAUGAGUCGUAGUUCUUGUGCACGGACUUUUUUUUCUUACUAUAGCCUCGUAAGCCCUGGGGUCCUCUGAGAAGGACCAAAUAAUUGUAGUCAUAAAGGCCGAAGGUUUUGAAAUAGUUUGUUCUAAUAAUCAACGAAGGUACUUUUAAAAGUACCAAAACUUUGCCUGUCAAUUUAAUUCAAACCUUUGCGCCGAUUGAGAAAAAAAGUAUUUUGUCUAUGAACUAGUUCAUUCAAUUUCGUGAAUAGGUGGCUUUCAUAAAAAAGAAAUAUGUAUCACUUGUCGUAAUUUGUCAUUUUAUUGGUAAAGUUGGUACGCACACGGCGACGAGGUAAAAAAAAAUCAAGUUAAUAAUCGAAUGUCGUAGUUUUUCAUACACAUUAUUUUCAGAAAUCACAGGUAAGAUAAUAAUCAACAACAUGACAUAGUUAUUUUAUCAAUUUCGUAUCGAUAUCGUUAGCAAUAUGAAAGCAAACUUUUUUAGUCCUUUGCAAGGGACUUUAGGUGUCAUGUCCGGAUAUUUUUCAAAUACUUUUUUAAAUUGUUAUAUGUGAUUAAAUCAUACCGAUAUAGACUGACUUGCUUACGUGAUCUUAUUAUUAAAAAAAAGUACCGUCUUCAUUUUAUUUCCUUUUUCCUUAUAAUGAUGAUUUAAACUGACACCAUGAAUUAAUUUCUUUCCUAAUAAUAAAAACCUAAUGUACUUCCAGAGGGACUAAUCACAAACUACACCAUAAAAACUAAAACUCGUUACUUAUUUUAUAUUUAAAUAUGUAAGUAUAUACACAUAUUUAUGACGUACAAAUAGGUAUGUAUGUUAAUGAAAAAAUACAUAACCCUUUAUAAUAAUAAUAUUUUUCAGAUUUUACUAAAAGUAGUGACUUAAACCGGGAGUCCUUCUGGAAGAACUAAAAAAAAAACGUAUUUUUUUCAAAAAUGUCUUCUAUUCAUCCUUACAUAGGUCUCCACUUAAUUUGAACCCGAUCGGAUAACUCUAACACUUUAAAAUUUGUACUUGAAGUGCUCGGCCUUUACGACUACAAAAAUUUGGUCCUUUUCAAGGUACCACCGUCGUUUAUUACUUCGAAAUCGUAAUUAUGCUUCGGCGUUACGAGGAUAGAUGGCAAACUUCCUAUAUUAUUUUUUUAUUUAAAUCAGGCAACUAAGGCCCAUAUAUUAUAUGCCUUAACCUAAGCAUACAAUAUCAUAAUUAUAAGUAAACCUUCCUAUGGGCGAGGUUUCGACAAUGGUUAAAUAUUGGUUUGGAUUUUAAAAGAACAUUCGAUCUUACGACUAUAUUUUUUAGUCGGUUCAUAGCAUGGUAAGUAGCUGAAUGCAUUCAACUUUGUUUUUUGCUCCCAACCCAGCAAAGAAAUGUAAGAUCCAUCAUUUCUGCCUUAAAAGAUAUUUUAGUUGGGAAGCGCACUCCAUCCACCGCAUUCUCAGUUUCUAUUAAAUAAAUUCUCUUCUUUCUAUCGGAAUUCCGUUCCGUUCUAACUAAAAGACGGAACAUUUUCUUGCAAAAUCUGUCGAAACGAAGUUACAGCGGAAAGAAAUCCUUGAAGUAAAAGUACAAAAGAAGCGUGGAAUCCGUCAAUGCGACUUAGCUGAGUAAGGCUCGUCGUACACGCGAUGCUUUUAGCGUCGGCAAAUAGCAGUGGGUACAUACUUUCGAGUUUUUUCUUCGGAAAUCCAUGCUGUGUUCGUAAUGCCAAGCAUUUGGUUAUUUGAUAUUACAUUCCUAAUUACGUGCGUUUUUAGUUUUGUUUCUAUGCUGGACUGAGAGCGAAUACAUAGAACGCGAUCAGCUGCUUAUCAAUCCGGGCAUGACGUAAACCUUUCGGAGCAGUUUACCAGAUUCUCAAUU